UCUUUAUCUGGAAAGAGAUUUAAGAGUAUCAGAUUUACAAUACAAGAUAAGAAGUCUUUAUCUAGAAGGAGAUUUAAGAGUAUUAAUUCAGUCAAAGAUAGUUGUUUGUUUCAGUUCAAUUCAUCUCUCAAAAACAAAAACUCAAUACGAUCUAUCGCUGCCGGCGUGCGCUUACUGUACAGGAAAAGAAGAAGCAACGACUUGUUUAGGUAGAAGGUGAAAUAGGUGUUGUAAGUAUAACUUGUAUUUACAUUUCUACCCUUUUAAUCUCAAUGUUCAACUGCAAUAUGCUUUUAAAAUGGUGGGACCCUUUAUAUUGUGAUAUAUUAUAUUAUUUUACUCGAACAUUGGGGCAAGGCGAACCGUGUAUCGCCGCUCUUUAUUUAUUUCUUUAUCUUUUGAGUACUUAUUUGGUUUGAAUUCCAA